CUUCAGCUGUGGGCACAGAAGGUGACACUCAGGACAAUCUCCAGCAUGGCCUGGGCUCCUCUCCUCCUCACUGUCCUGGCUCACUGCACAGGAUGCUGGGCCCAGUCUGUGCUGACUCAGCCACCCUCAGUGUCUGGGAACCCUGGGCAGAGGGUCACCAUCUCCUGUUCUGGAAGCAGCUCCAACAUUGGAAGUAGCUAUGUAAACUGGUACCAGCAGCUCCCAGGAACGGCCCCCAAACUUCUCAUCUAUUAUAAUGAUCAGCGACCCUCAGGGGUUUCUGACCGAUUCUCUGGCUCCAAGUCCGGCAACUCAGCCUCCCUGGCCAUCACUGGACUCCAGUCUGCGGAUGAGGCUGAUUAUUAUUGCAUGUCAUAUGACAGCAACCUGGAUGCUCACACAGUGCUCCAGGCCCAGGGGGAACCCUCUCACACAGGUGACUACUGCUGUGGCUCUGGUGGAGUGGCCCCUGUCCUCUGA